rnacentral:rRNA from 1 species
GAUGAACGCUGGCGGCGUGCCUAAUACAUGCAAGUCGAGCGAACGGACGAGAAGCUUGCUUCUCUGAUGUUAGCGGCGGACGGGUGAGUAACACGUGGAUAACCUACCUAUAAGACUGGGAUAACUUCGGGAAACCGGAGCUAAUACCGGAUAAUAUUUUGAACCGCAUGGUUCAAAAGUGAAAGACGGUCUUGCUGUCACUUAUAGAUGGAUCCGCGCUGCAUUAGCUAGUUGGUAAGGUAACGGCUUACCAAGGCAACGAUGCAUAGCCGACCUGAGAGGGUGAUCGCCCACACUGGAACUGAGACACGCUCCAGCCUCCUACGGGAGGCAGCAGUAGGGAAUCUUCCGCAAUGGGCGAAAGCCUGACGGAGCAACGCCGCGUGAGUGAUGAAGGUCUUCGGAUCGUAAAACUCUGUUAUUAGGGAAGAACAUAUGUGUAAGUAACUGUGCACAUCUUGACGGUACCUAAUCAGAAAGCCACGGCUAACUACGUG